rnacentral:tRNA from 2 species
UAUGUUGUUGACUAAUCGGUAAGUCCUAAAUUUUUGGUAUUUAUUAUUGGGUGUUCGAAUCGCCCCAACAUAA